UUGACUUAAAUAGGAGCAGAAUU
rnacentral:miRNA from 1 species